rnacentral:lncRNA from 1 species
UACUGUUGGCAGCAGCACAAUGUUUGGGCUAAGACCUGUCUUGAAAGCGCCACAAGCAGCAGCUGCUGAGCCAUGGCUGAAGGGGAAAUCACCACCUUCACAGCCCUGACCGAGAAGUUUAAUCUGCCUCCAGGGAAUUACAAGAAGCCCAAACUCCUCUACUGUAGCAACGGGGGCCACUUCCUGAGGAUCCUUCCGGAUGGCACAGUGGAUGGGACAAGGGACAGGAGCGACCAGCACAGUAAGC